rnacentral:tRNA from 2 species
GCGCCCGUAGCUCAGUUGGAUAGAGCGUCGGACUUCGAAUCCGCAGGCCGGGUGUUCGAGUCACCCCGGGCGCGCAA